AACGAACGCUGGCGGCAUGCCUAACACAUGCAAGUCGAACGAAGGCUUCGGCCUUAGUGGCGCACGGGUGAGUAACGCGUGGGAAACUGCCUAUUGGUGGGGAAUAACGACGGGAAACUGUCGCUAAUACCGCAUAAGCCCUUCGGGGGAAAGAUAUAUCGCCGAUAGAUGUGCCCGCGUCCGAUUAGCUAGUUGGUGAGGUAAUGGCUCACCAAGGCGACGAUCGGUAGCUGGUCUGAGAGGAUGACCAGCCACACUGGGACUGAGACACGGCCCAGACUCCUACGGGAGGCAGCAGUGGGGAAUAUUGGACAAUGGGCGAAAGCCUGAUCCAGCAAUGCCGCGUGAGUGAUGAAGGCCUUAGGGUUGUAAAGCUCUUUCGGGUGGGAUGAUGAUGACGGUACCACCAGAAGAAGCCCCGGCUAACUUCGUGCCAGCCGCCGCCGUAA
rnacentral:rRNA from 1 species